AUUGAACGCUGGCGGCAGGCCUAACACAUGCAAGUCGAGCGAGCGGCGGACGGGUGAGUAAUGUCUGGGAAACUGCCUGAUGGAGGGGGAUAACUACUGGAAACGGUAGCUAAUACCGCAUACCAUCAGAUGUGCCCAGAUGGGAUUAGCUAGUAGGUGGGGUAACGGCUCACCUAGGCGACGAUCCCUAGCUGGUCUGAGAGGAUGACCAGCCACGUUUGAAAUGAUACACGGUCCAGACUACUCAGGGAGGCAGCAGAUGGGAGUAUGGCACAGUGUGCGAAAGCCUGAUGCAGCAGUGCCGCGUGUGGGAAGAAGGCCUUCGGGUCGUAAAGCACUUUUAGCGGUGAGGCGUUACCCGAAGAAAAAGCACCGGCUAACUACGUGCCAGCGGCCGCGGUAAUAC
rnacentral:rRNA from 1 species